rnacentral:rRNA from 1 species
CCUACGGGUGGCAGCAGUGGGGAAUAUUGGGCAAUGGACGCAAGCCUGACCCAGCAACGCCGCGUGAAGGAAGAAGGCUUUCGGGUUGUAAACUUCUUUUAAGGGGGAAGAGCAGAAGACGGUACCCCUUGAAUAAGCCACGGCUAACUACGUGCCAGCAGCCGCGGUCAUACGUAGGUGGCAAGCGUUGUCCGGAUUUACUGGGUGUAAAGGGCGUGCUGCCGGGCCGACAAGUCAGAUGUGAAAUCCGCGUGCUUAACCCGCGAACUGCAUUUGAAACUAUUGGUCUUGAGUACCGGAGAGGUCAUCGGAAUUCCUUGUGUAGCGGUGAAAUGCGUAGAUAUAAGGAAGAACACCAGUGGCGAAGGCGGAUGACUGGACGGCAACUGACGGUGAGGCGCGAAAGCGUGGGGAGCGAACAGGAUUAGAUACCCCUGUAGUC